UACGUAGGGGGCAAGCGUUGUCCGGAUUUACUGGGCGUAAAGAGCGCGUAGGCGGAAGCUUAAGUGUGGCCUGAAAGCCCCCGGCUCAACCGGGGAAGGUGGCUGCAAACUGGGCUUCUUGAGGGGGAUAGGGGAAAGUGGAAUUCCUGGUGUAGCGGUGGAAUGCGCAGAUAUCAGGAGGAACACCGAUGGCGAAGGCAGGUCUCUGGGCCACUACUGACGCUGAGAAGCGAAAGCAUGGGGAGCGAACAGG
rnacentral:rRNA from 1 species